rnacentral:rRNA from 1 species
CACGUAGGGCGCGAGCGUUGUCCGGAAUUAUUGGGCGUAAAGAGCUCGUAGGCGGCCUGUUGCGUCCGCUGUGAAAGCCCGGGGCUUAACCCCGGGGUCUGCAGUGGAUACGGGCAGGCUAGAGGUAGGUAGGGGAGAAUGGAAUUCCCGGUGUAGCGGUGAAAUGCGCAGAUAUCGGGAGGAACACCGGUGGCGAAGGCGGUUCUCUGGGCCUUACCUGACGCUGAGGAGCGAAAGCGUGGGGGAGCGAACAGG